AUCCUGGGCUCAGAACGAACGCUGGCGGCGCGUUUCAGGCAUGCAAGUCGAAGGCUCUAUUUUUGCUUGCAAUGAUAGAGACUGGCGAACGGGUGAGUAACACGUGAGAAUCUAGCCUGAGGUGGGGGAUAGCCUAUGGAAACAUAGGAUAAUACCGCAUAUGCUGAGAAGUGAAAGAGGCAAUUGUCUCGCCUUGGGGUGAGCUUGCGGUCCAUUAGCUAGUUGGUAGGGUAAAGGCCUACCAAGGCUACGAUGGAUAGCCGGCCUGAGAGGGUGUACGGCCACAUUGGGACUGAGACACGGCCCAGACUCCUACGGGAGGCAGCAGCUAAGAAUAUUCCGCAAUGGGAGAAAUCCUGACGGAGCGACGCCGCGUGGACGAUGAAGGCAGAAAUGUUGUAAAGUCCUUUUAUAUGGGAAGAAUAAUGACAGGAGUGGAAAGCUUGUCAGAUGACGGUACCAUAUGAAUAAGCCCCGGCUAACUACGUGCCAGCAGCCGCGGUAAUACGUAGGGGGCUAGCGUUGUUCGGAUUCAUUGGGCGUAAAGGGCAUGUAGGCGGUUAUAUAAGUGUGAAUUUAAAGGCUUAGGCUUAACCUAAUGUAUGGUUUGCAAACUGUAUAACUAGAGUAUAGGAUGGGAAACUGGAAUUCCGCGUGUAGGGAUGAAAUCUGUAGAGAUGCGGAAGGAUACCGGUGGCGAAGGCGAGUUUCUGGCCUGUAACUGACGCUAAUAUGCGAAAGUGUGGGGAGCAAACAGGAUUAGAUGCCCUGGUAGUCCACACUGUAAACGUUGCACACUAGGUGUUAGUAGUUUGUUC
rnacentral:rRNA from 1 species